GUGGGGGAUAUUGCACAAUGGGGGGAACCCUGAUGCAGCGACGCCGCGUGGGUGAAGAAGCGCCUCGGCGCGUAAAGCCCUGUCAGCAGGGAAGAAAAUGACGGUACCUGAAGAAGAAGCCCCGGCUAACUACGUGCCAGCAGCCGCGGUAAUACGUAGGGGGCAAGCGUUAUCCGGAUUUACUGGGUGUAAAGGGGGCGCAGACGGCGAUGCAAGCCAGGAGUGAAAGCCCGGGGCCCAACCCCGGGACUGCUCUUGGAACUGCGUGGCUGGAGUGCAGGAGGGGCAGGCGGAAUUCCUGGUGUAGCGGUGAAAUGCGUAGAUAUCAGGAGGAACACCGGUGGCGAAGGCGGCCUGCUGGACUGCAACUGACGUUGAGGCCCGAAAGCGUGGGGAGCAAACAGG
rnacentral:rRNA from 1 species